rfam:Oryza glumipatula chromosome 12, whole genome shotgun sequence.
UUUAAGUGUAAAGUUUUCGUUUCCAACUUUGCUCAUCCAUCUUAUUUAAAAAAAUUUUAUAAUUAGUAUUUUUAUUAUUAUAAGAUGAUAAAAAAUAAAUAAUACUUUAUAAGUGCGACUUAUGUUUUUGAAUUUUUAAAAUAUUUUUUAAAUAAAACGGACAGUCAAAGUUAUACCUGAAAAAUCAUAACUGCACUUAAU